GAUGAACGCUAGCGGCAGGCUUAAUACAUGCAAGUCGAGGGGCAACAGGGGUAGCAAUACCUGCUGGCGACCGGCAAACGGGUGCGGAACACGUACAGAACCUUCCUUUAAGCGGGGGAUAGCCCAUAGAAAUGUGGAUUAAUACCCCAUAGUAAUAAUGACUGGCAUCAGUUGUUAUUUAAAGAUUUAUCACUUAAAGAUGGCUGUGCGGCUGAUUAGGUAGUUGGUCGGGGAACGGCCACCAAGCCAUCGAUCAGUAACUGGUGUGAGAGCACGACCAGUCACACGGGCACUGAGACACGGGCCCGACUCCUACGGGAGGCAGCAGUAAGGAAUAUUGGUCAAUGGACGCAAGUCUGAACCAGCCAUGCCGCGUGAAGGAUGAAGGCCCUCUGGGUUGUAAACUUCUUUUAUCUGGGAAGAAAUGCAUGUCUUUUUAGCGUUGUUUGACGGUACCAGAGGAAUAAGCACCGGCUAACUCCGUGCCAGCAGCCGCGGUAA
rnacentral:rRNA from 1 species